rnacentral:rRNA from 1 species
AACGAACGCUGGCGGCAGGCCUAACACAUGCAAGUCGAGCGAGACCUUCGGGUCUAGCGGCGGACGGGUGAGUAACGCGGGGGAACGUGCCCUUCUCUACGGAAUAGCCCCGGGAAACUGGGAGUAAUACCGUAUACGCCCUUUGGGGGAAAGAUUUAUCGGAGAAGGAACGGCCCGCGUUGGCUUAGGUAGUUGGUGGGGUAAUGGCCCACCAAGCCGACGGUCCAUAGCUGGUUUGGGAGGAUGAUCAGCCACACUGGGACUGAGACACGGCCCAGACUCCUACGGGAGGCAGCAGUGGGGAAUCUUAGACAAUGGGGGCAACCCUGAUCUAGCCAUGCCGCGUGAGUGAUGAAGGCCUGAGGGUUGUAAAGCUCUUUCAGCUGGGAAGAUAAUGACGGUACCAGCAGAAGAAGCCCCGGCUAACUCCGUGCCAGCCGCCGCUGUAACAC